rnacentral:rRNA from 1 species
GACGAACGCUGGCGGCGUGCUUAACACAUGCAAGUCGAACGGAAAGGCCCUGCUUUUGUGGGGUGCUCGAGUGGCGAACGGGUGAGUAACACGUGAGUAACCUGCCCUUGACUUUGGGAUAACUUCAGGAAACUGGGGCUAAUACCGGAUAGGAGCUCCUGCUGCAUGGUGGGGGUUGGAAAGUUUCGGCGGUUGGGGAUGGACUCGCGGCUUAUCAGCUUGUUGGUGGGGUAGUGGCUUACCAAGGCUUUGACGGGUAGCCGGACUGAGAGGGUGACCGGCCACAUGGGGACUGAGAUACGGACAAGACGAAUACGGGAGGCAGGAGUGGGGAAUAUUGAAAAAUGGGCGGAAGAAUGAUGCAGCAACGCCGCGUGCGGGAUGACGGCCUUCGGGUGGUAAACCGCUUUCGCCUGUGACGAAGCGUGAGUGACGGUAAUGGGUAAAGAAGCACCGGCUAACUACGU